CUGGGAUACUCUAGCCCUGUGUCUAGCUUUAGCAUCACUAUAACCUGCCAGGAGAGGGAGCUCAUACUGACUCCAUGCUAAGGUUACAGAUACCCUGGAGACUUCAAGGGCUGCAGCACAGCGAGGAAAGGAAGGGUGGGGUUUUCCUUGUUACGGGUAAUGACUACGCAGCUUUCUGGGAAUGCGUAUUUUGGGAAAAACACUGACACUAUUAAAAAAAAAAAAGGUGAGAUUAUGACACAGAAAGAAAUUAUCUUUACCAGGAGGAAGUAGAAAGAAAAAAAGAGGAAGUGACUAGAGCAAAGGAAGACAAAAGGAAAUUUGGCACAACAGGAAUCAGAAUCAAGAUCCUAUAUACCCAUUGCAAUGCCUGGCAUGUAAACCAGAUACAAGAUAGCCUGUUCUCUGCAGCUGAGACAAACCCUGAAGGAGCUGAAGGCUGUCUGCUGACCAUAUUUCCCCUGACUGAAUAUCAAGUCCUUCCUAGAAGGGGAAUCUAGCCAGUAGGUCUCCUUGUCUAUGAUACCAGGUGAGGGGUAUGCCAUGAUUAUGGUCAGAGCAAACCAGAUAGUCACUAAUAUGUUCACCUGAGGUCAGCAAAUUCAUGCUUUGCCACCUAAUAGUCUGUUUUUGAAAAUAAAAAUUUUAAUUUCAUCUUUUAAAAAUUAGUU
rnacentral:lncRNA from 1 species